rnacentral:rRNA from 1 species
UACGGAGGAUGCGAGCGUUAUCCGGAUUUAUUGGGUUUAAAGGGUGCGCAGGCGGAUUUUUAAGUCAGCGGUCAAAUCGUGGGGCUCAACCCCAUCCAGCCGUUGAAACUGGGGAUCUGGAGUGUGCGAGAGGUAUGCGGAAUGUGUGGUGUAGCGGUGAAAUGCAUAGAUAUCGCGCAGAACCCCGAUUGCGAAGGCAGCAUACCGGUGCACAACUGACGCUCAGGCACGAAAGCGUGGGUAUCGAACAGG